rnacentral:tRNA from 1 species
CUCUGUGUGGCUUAGAUGGUAAAGAAUCUGCCUGCAAUGCAGGAGACCUGAGUUUGAUCCUGAGUCCAGAAA